rnacentral:rRNA from 1 species
GCUUGUCUCAAAGAUUAAGCCAUGCAUGUCUAAGUAUAAACAACUUUAUACUGUGAAACUGCGUACAGCUCAUUAUAUCAGUUAUAAUUUAUUUGAUGGUGAUUUACUACAUGGAUAACCGUGGUAAUUCUAGAGCUAAUACAUGCGUAAGAUCCUGACUAACGAAGGGACGUAUUUAUUAGAUACAAUCAAACGCACCAACAUAAAACCUUGGUGAUUCAUAAUAACUGUUCGGAUCGUAUGGCUUUUUGCCGACGACAGAUCAUUCAAAUUUCUGCCCUAUCAGCUUUCGACGGUACUGUAGUGGACUACCGUGGCAUUAACGGGUGACGGAGAAUUAGGGUUCGAUUCCGGAGAGGGAGCCUGAGAAAUGGCUACCACAUCCAAGGAAGGCAGCAGG